rnacentral:rRNA from 1 species
AUUGAACGCUGGCGGCAUGCCUUACACAUGCAAGUCGAACGGCAGCACGGGUGCUUGCACCUGGUGGCGAGUGGCGAACGGGUGAGUAAUAUAUCGGAACGUACCUUAUUGUGGGGGAUAACGCAGCGAAAGCUGUGCUAAUACCGCAUAAUCCCUUAGGGGGAAAGCGGGGGACCGUAAGGCCUCGCGCAAUUAGAGCGGCCGAUACCUGAUUAGCUAGUUGGUGAGGUAAAGGCUCACCAAGGCGACGAUCAGUAGCUGGUCUGAGAGGACGAUCAGCCACACUGGGACGGAGACACGGCCCAGACUCCUACAGGAGGCAGCAGUGGGGAAUUUUGGACAAUGGGGGCAACCCUGAUCCAGCAAUGCCGCGUGAGUGAAGAAGGCCUUCGGGUUGUAAAGCUCUUUUGUCAGGGAAGAAACAGCAGCUCUAACACAGUAUGCGAAUGACGGUACCUGAAGAAUAAGCACCGGCUAACUACGUGCCAGCCGCCGCCGUAA